CAAUAGCGUAUAUUAAAGUUGUUGCAGUUAAAACGCUCGUAGUUGGAUUUCUGGUGGGAGCGAUCGGUCUGGCGCUUAGCGCGAGUACUUGCAUCGUCUCCGGCCAUCCUUGGGGAGAGUCUGUCUGGCAUUAGGUUGUCGGGCAGAGGAUCCUCAUCGUUUACUGUGAAAAAAUUAGAGUGUUCAAAGCAGGCUUAUGCCGUUGAAUAUAUUAGCAUGGAAUAAUAAGAUAGGACUUUGGUACUAUUUUGUUGGUUUGCGCACCAAAGUAAUGAUUAAUAGGGACAGUUGGGGGUAUUCGUAUUCCGUUGUCAGAGGUGAAAUUCUUGGAUUUACGGAAGACGAACUACUGCGAAAGCAUUUACCAAGGAUGUUUUCAUUAA
rnacentral:rRNA from 1 species